UGCAAAGAUCCUAUUUCCAAAUAAGGUCACGUUCACAGGUAUCGGGGGUCAGGACCUGGAUCUAUCUUUGGAAGGAUGCAGUUCACCUACUACAGUGGCUUGCGGGUUGAGUACACCCACUGACAGCACCUUUUAUGCCUGAGCGGUGAAGAGCAGAUGUUUCUUCUUCUCUCCCCGUUGCUUGCCAACUGGGACAAAGAGUGGGCCCCACCUCCACACAGCUGAGGCCACCGGACAGAGGAUGCAGCUGGGAGCAGGGGCUGAGCGCAUUUCCCAAAGGUGCAAGUGCAAAGAACAAGUCGGCUUGAGAUACAUCUCCUGCUCCUGCUCUGUGCUGGCCCAGGUGCCAAGUGCUGGGGAGUGGUGACAGACAAGACACGGUGCUUGCUUCUGGAGGACUCUUCCCGGGCUUUAACUGCAGUGUGACAUGGAUGUCACCUCUUCAGAAGAGCAGCAUGUGUGGCACCUAGUUCUGACCUCGCCUGACUCCCAUCCUGUGCGGUCUACCUUGCAGGGGCACCCUUCCCCAUGUCUUGACCCUGGCUACUGAGAAAUUGGCCAACCUUCCCUGGAAAAGGUCUGAUAAACUCAGUUGCAAUGCAAAUAUUAAUGUUUUCCCAAAAGGACCUAGAAACAGCUGAUGACUCAGCCAAAGGAAAGAACAGCUUGUGUUAGGGCUUUCAGGAGUCUUUGUAGCCAGGGCUGGGGGAAGUGAGGAGGGCACACCCAAUCCUAUGGGGGUUUAGAGAGAGAGAGGGAGAGACAGAGUAUGUGUGUGUGUGUGCACGCGCGUGCUCAAGGAUAAUUUUCAGUGGAGUUCACUAUGGGAACACAAUGGUAUGAUGGCAAGUUAGUUUUAUUGGGCCAUAGUAAUAAGACUGGGAUAAAGUGAUUUUCUUGCCCAAAUCAUGAAAAAAGCAGCAGGUUAC
ensembl:lncRNA